GAUGAAGAACGCAGCGAAAUGCGAUAAGUAAUGCGAAUUGCAGAAUUCAGUGAGUCAUCGAAUCUUUGAACGCACAUUGCGCCCUGUGGUAUUCCGCAGGGCAUGCCUGUUCGAGCGUCAUUUCAACCCUCAAGCUCUGCUUGGUGUUGGGCCCUGCCCGCUGCGGCCGGCCCUAAAGACAGUGGCGGUGCCGCCUGGCCCUGAGCGUAGUACAUCUCUCGCUCCAGUGCCCGGUGGUAGCCUGCCAGAACCCCAACUCUCGUGGUUGACCUCGGAUCAGGUAGGGAUACCCGCUGAACUUAAGCAUAUCAAAAGCGGAGGA
rnacentral:misc_RNA from 1 species